AGGUGGGGGUUGUGCUUACAGCCCAACACCGUGCAGGACAUUUGGCAUUUGCCAGAGAAUACCAAGAUUGGCAAAUUCGCCACUGGCGCCCUGUGCUCUUCACAGAUGAAAGCAGGUUCACACUGAGCACGUGUCAGACGUGACAGAGUCUGGAGAUGCCAUGGAGAACGUUCUGCUGCCUGAAGCAUCCUCUAGCAUGACCGGUUUGGCAGUGGGUCAGUUAUGUUGUGGAGUGGCAUUUCUUUGGGGGGCCGCACAGCCCUCCAUGUGCUCGCCAGAGGUAGCCUGACUGGCAUUAGGUACCAAGAGGAGAUCCUCAGACCCCUUGUGAGACCAUAUGUUG